AUUGAACGCUGGCGGCAUGAUUUACACAUGCAAGUCGAACGGUAACAGGCCGCAAGGUGCUGACGAGUGGCGAACGGGUGAGUAAUGCAUCGGAACGUGCCCAGUCGUGGGGGAUAACUACUCGAAAGAGAAGCUAAUACCGCAUACGAUCUAUGGAUGAAAGCGGGGGACCGUAAGGCCUCGCGCGAUUGGAGCGGCCGAUGUCAGAUUAGGUAGUUGGUGGGGUAAAGGCUCACCAAGCCAACGAUCUGUAGCUGGUCUGAGAGGACGACCAGCCACACUGGGACUGAGACACGGCCCAGACUCCUACGGGAGGCAGCAGUGGGGAAUUUUGGACAAUGGGCGCAAGCCUGAUCCAGCAAUGCCGCGUGCAGGAAGAAGGCCUUCGGGUUGUAAACUGCUUUUGUACGGAACGAAACGGCUCUGGUUAAUACCCGGGGCUAAUGACGGUACCGUAAGAAUAAGCACCGGCUAACUACGUG
rnacentral:rRNA from 1 species